GAAAAAGAAAUAAUAAAAAGUGAUCAACACAAGAUGAUCUUCGUUCAUCAACGCAUAAAAACACACGGCACCCCCUCCAAACUCUGAUUUGAGUCUUCCAACUCACCGAUUCGGAUUUCGGUUGGUUGGUGCUUCUGAUUGAUUUGUUUGUGGGAAGAUGCAUCCUCCCUUAACGUUACACAAGCACCCAAUGUGCGCUGAAAUUAUUGAGCUGUUCCAGAAAUGUCAUGUGGAACACCCUCUUGGAAAAUUCUUUAGUGAA